AAGCUCGUAGUUGAACCUUGGGCCUGGCUGGCCGGUCCGCCUCACCGCGUGUACUGGUCCGGCCGGGCCUUUCCCUCUGUGGAACCCCAUGCCCUUCACUGGGUGUGGCGGGGAAACAGGACUUUUACUUUGAAAAAAUUAGAGUGCUCCAGGCAGGCCUAUGCUCGAAUACAUUAGCAUGGAAUAAUAGAAUAGGACGUGUGGUUCUAUUUUGUUGGUUUCUAGGACCGCCGUAAUGAUUAAUAGGGACAGUCGGGGGCAUCAGUAUUCAAUUGUCAGAGGUGAAAUUCUUGGAUUUAUUGAAGACUAACUACUGCGAAAGCAUUUGCCAAGGAUGUUUUCAUUAAUCAGGAACGAAAGUUAGGGGAUCGAAGACGAUCAGAUACCGUCGUAGUCUUAACCAUAAACUAUGCCGACUAGGGAUCGGGCGAUGUUAUUUUUUGACUCGUUCGGCACCUUACGGGAAAC
rnacentral:rRNA from 1 species